rnacentral:rRNA from 1 species
GAUGAACGCUAGCGGCAGGCUUAAUACAUGUAAGUCAAGGGACAGCACAGGUAGCAAUACUGGGUGGUAACCGGCAAACGGGUGCGGAACACGUACACAACCUUCCUUUAAGUGGGGGAUAGCCCAGAGAAAUUUGGAUUAAUACCCCGUAAUAUAGUUGAAUGGCAUCAUUUGAUUAUUAUAGCUACGGCGCUUAAUGAUGGGUGUGCGGCUGAUUAGAUAGUUGGCGGGGUAACGGCCCACCAAGUCUACGAUCAGUAGCUGAUGUGAGAGCAUGAUCAGCCACACGGGCACUGAGACACGGGCCCGACUCCUACGGGAGGCAGCAGUAAGGAAUAUUGGUCAAUGGACGCAAGUCUGAACCAGCCAUGCCGCGUGAAGGAUUAAGGUCCUCUGGAUUGUAAACUUCUUUUAUUUGGGACGAAAAAGGGCCUUUCUAGGUCAACUGACGGUACCAGAUGAAUAAGCACCGGCUAACUCCGUGCCAGCAGCCGCGGUAAUAC